rnacentral:lncRNA from 1 species
AAUUCUUCAUUAAAUGUAUUUCCACUGACAGUACAAUAAUAAAAAUAGUCUUGUAAGAAUUUCUUUAUAUAUACCCAAUGUGAAAUACUUAAUUGUUCUAGUUUUAUUAAUGCUUCCUUUUGUAGAGCUAAUAAUCCACUAUUUGGAUCUUUUCCUGUUAAUAACAUAUGCAUUUUAUUUGUAAAAUUAUAGGGAUUUGGCCCCAUACUUAAUAGAACCUGGAAGUCAUAUGGGCAGUUUGUC